UUUGUUUGUUUGUUUGCUUGCUUGCUUUUAAGACAAAUUGAGCCUUGAAAAUUGAUUCUGAAUGAAAACUAUGAUCUUAUAUCACUUAGGUCAUUUAGAAAAUCUGACUGUCCUGUAACAAAUAUGAAAAAACAUCUACAGAGAAAGAUUAAUAUAGGAGGGUAAGGUCAUCUCUGCAUUCAACAAAGCUCAGUUAUACUUAGCAGAUUUCUGUAACAAUAUUUUAUUGUACCAAAAGGAAAUGCAACCCAUUGUCAGCUUUUUGGUUCCAAGACAAGCAUGGAAAAUUCAACGUCACAUUAUGAAGCUUCUCUGGACCUCUAGGUACAAGACCCCAACAGAUGAGACACUCCAUGUCCAUGGCAACACUUAGCUGCAAAGCCAUACAAAUAUUUAAACUGAGAUGGAGAUCCCUGAAAGACAAAAAACCUUGUCAAGGCUUCAAAAAUUUUAUUAAACUACAGCUUUCUACACUGUACGAUCUUCUUAUCUACUAUAGAAAAUGCUCUGAAAAAGGAAAAACAUGCAAGUGCUGAUCUGGACAUUUUUUAAAUGUGGAAAUUUUUUGGCUCAAGGACAUUUCUACAAGACACAAUAAGUUGAAACAAAAUAGACCAAAUUUUGUUUACUA